AUUGAACGCUGGCGGAAUGCUUUACACAUGCAAGUCGAGCGGCAGCGCGGUCUUCGGACUGGCGGCGAGCGGCGAACGGGUGAGUAAUACAUCGGAACAUGCCCAGUCGUGGGGGAUAACACUUCGAAAGAAGUGCUAAUACCGCAUACGUCCUGAGGGAGAAAGCGGGGGAUCGCAAGACCUCGCGCGAUUGGAGUGGCCGAUGUCAGAUUAGCUAGUUGGUGGGGUAAAGGCCUACUAAGGCAACGAUCUGUAGCUGGUCUGAGAGGAUGAUCAGCCCCGCUGGGACCGGGACACGGCCCAGACUCCUACGGGAGGCAGCAGUGGGGAAUUUUGGACAAUGGGGGCAACCCUGAUCCAGCCAUUCCGCGUGAGUGAAGCAGGCCUUCGGGUUGUAAAGCUCUUUCGGCAGGAACGAAACGGCGAGCUCUAACAUAGCUCGCUAAUGACGGUACCUGAAGAAGAAGCACCGGCUAACUACGUGCCAGCCGCCGCAGUAACAC
rnacentral:rRNA from 1 species